rnacentral:rRNA from 1 species
GAUGAACGCUGACAGAAUGCUUAACACAUGCAAGUCUUUGGCGAAGCUGUGCUUGCACAGCCUAGCCAAGGCGGACGGGUGAGUAACGCGUAAGGGACUUGCCCUGCAGUCAGGGAUAACAGACGGAAACGACUGAUAAGACCUGGUAAAGUCAGGCGGACUCAUGUCCAGCCUGAUGAAAAGGAAUGCUGCAGGAGAGCCUUGCGCCCUAUUAGCUUGUUGGUGGGGUAACGGCCCACCAAGGCGAUGAUAGGUAGCCGGCCUGAGAGGGUGGACGGCCACAAGGGGACUGAGAUACGGCCCUUACUCCUACGGGAGGCAGCAGUGGGGAAUAUUGGACAAUGGGGGCAACCCUGAUCCAGCAAUUCUGUGUGCACGAUGAAGGUCUUCGGAUUGUAAAGUGCUUUCAGCAGGGAAGAAAAAAAUGACGGUACCUGCAGAAGAAGCGACGGCUAAAUACGUGCCAGCAGCCGCGGUAAUACGUAUGUCGCGAGCGUUAUCCGGAAUUAUUGGGCAUAAAGGGCAUCUAGGCGGCCGGAUAAGUCUGGGGUGAAAACUUGCGGCUCAACCGCAAGCCUGCCCUGGAAACUAUGCGGCUAGAGUACUGGAGAGGUGGACGGAACUGCACGAGUAGAGGUGAAAUUCGUAGAUAUGUGCAGGAAUGCCGAUGAUGAAGAUAGUUCACUGGACGGUAACUGACGCUGAAGUGCGAAAGCUAGGGGAGCAAACAGG